rnacentral:lncRNA from 1 species
GAAAUCAUAGUCCCCUGUGUAGGUUUGCUGUCUGUCAUUUUGGCUUUACCUUUCUCCAAUCCCUCCUUCCUUCCUUCCCCCGUCCAUGUUGAUGUCUUCUUUCCCCAGUCCUCCUCAGACACCAAGUAGAAGUGGCAACCGAUGCACAAGAUGCAAGCAACAAGCAUCGACUGCAAGCUAAACCACUCGUUGCAGAGCCAAAGCCUGAAGGAACAAGCAACAUCACGGUCAAGAUCAGCAUCAAUAGAGAAGAGAAUCGUGUUAGAGUGCUCAAUCCACAUAAAGAAGCCAAAAGUGCAGCUAUCGCAGAUGUUUCAACCCUUAGCAGAGGUAAAAAUACUCUUCUAGUAUCAUCCUGCUUAUCUUCUCUCUUAACAGAUAGGAUUGAACAGAGUCUUUUUCGAGGAAGACCUGUCCACAGCAUCCACGGAUUGGCUCUCCCUGAAUCCAUGUCUUGUGGAGUGCAAUUGACAGAUCGAUCACAGUUCUUGACUUGGCAUUAUUUUUCCAUCAUCAAAAGUAUAAUUUCAGUAAGAAUAUUAGAAGGAACAUGUUGUUCCUUCUCGUGAUGAUGGUGAAAGAGAGUUAUGUAUCAGAAAGCUUCAACAGUUAAUGCCAAAGAAGAGAGUAUAAAUGCAGAAUUUUGGAUGAAUCAUGCAAUGGAACAAAUAUAGAUCUGAUAUUAUAAGCUGUUGACACCGAUGCUAAUUGUAACCACAGCAAUCCUCACAAAGGAUAUAAUAGCAACACUACAAUGCACAGAAAGAGUCUUCUCCUCAGACAUGACACAGAGCAUAUCAUCAUCAUACACUAACUCAGCAUUGGUUACUAGUGAACACUAGUAGAGAAGAGGGAAGGGAGG